rnacentral:rRNA from 1 species
UACGUAGGGUGCGAGCGUUAAUCGGAAUUACUGGGCGUAAAGUGUGCGCAGGCGGCCGCGCAAGUCGAGUGUGAAAGCCCCGGGCUUAACUUGGGAAUUGCGCUCGAAACUACGUGGCUGGAGUGUGGCAGAGGAAGGUGGAAUUCCAGGUGUAGCGGUGAAAUGCGUAGAGAUCUGGAGGAACACCGAUGGCGAAGGCAUCCUUCUGGGCCAACACUGACGCUCAUGCACGAAAGCGUGGGGAGCAAACAGG